UACGGAGGGAGCUAGCGUUAUUCGGAAUUACUGGGCGUAAAGCGCACGUAGGCGGCUUUGUAAGUUAGAGGUGAAAGCCUGGAGCUCAACUCCAGAAUUGCCUUUAAGACUGCAUCGCUUGAAUCCAGGAGAGGUGAGUGGAAUUCCGAGUGUAGAGGUGAAAUUCGUAGAUAUUCGGAAGAACACCAGUGGCGAAGGCGGCUCACUGGACUGGUAUUGACGCUGAGGUGCGAAAACGUGGGGAGCAAACA
rnacentral:rRNA from 1 species